rnacentral:rRNA from 1 species
UACAGAGGGUGCAAGCGUUAAUCGGAAUUACUGGGCGUAAAGCGUGCGUAGACGGUUAUGUAAGUCGGGUGUGAAAGCCCCGGGCUCAACCUGGGAAUUGCAUUCGAGACUGCAUAGCUAGGGUGCGGAAGAGGGAAGCGGAAUUUCCGGUGUAGCGGUGAAAUGCGUAGAUAUCGGAAGGAACACCAGUGGCGAAAGCGGCUCCUGGUCCAGCACCGACGUUCAGGCACGAAAGCGUGGGGAGCAAACAGG